AUUCAAUUUUGUCCAUUCCACACUUUUCGGUUCUCUCACUCACAUUUGCGUGACAGAAGUUGUAUUACUUUUGCAUUGUAAACUUGAAUUAAAUUUUAAUUAAUUGCUUAAAUCACGUUUUAAUAAAUAUUAUUAGACUAUUGUCAACAAGGAAUUCAUUUUCUGGAAUCAUUUAAAGAGGGAGCAUUUUGCUGAUGUGAUAUUAUAGAAAUGUCAUCAUAUAUGGCAGGUGUUUUUGAUUUGGAUUUAGAUGUGGAUCCUGAUACUGUAAACGUUGGAGAUUCCGACGAAGACGAUAUUAUUGAAGUCGAUGAGGUCGAUUACGAACCCGAAUUACACGUGAAUAGCAUUGUUGAGCAAGAAGGCUCUGAGACUAUUCAAUUAUCUGAAGACAAUGUUAACCCAGGUCAAUGCAAACGCCUUGGUCCUCAAGAUUUCGAACUACGUAAAGUUUUGGGAAAGGGUGGAUAUGGCAAAGUGUUCCAAGUGCGAAAAAUAACAGGUGCUGAUGCUGGUGCACAUUUUGCUAUGAAAGUGCUCAAAAAAGCUUCCAUAGUUCGAAAUCAGAAAGACACAGCACACACAAAAGCGGAGAGAAAUAUUUUGGAAGCUGUAAAGCACCCAUUUAUAGUGGAAUUAGUAUAUGCUUUCCAAACAGGUGGUAAACUAUACUUAAUAUUAGAAUACCUAAGUGGUGGCGAGCUAUUUAUGCACCUUGAGAGAGAAGGGAUUUUCCUAGAGGACACAGCUUGCUUUUAUUUAUCAGAAAUUAUAUUGGCACUGGAACAUUUACAUAGUUUAGGCAUAAUUUAUCGUGAUUUGAAACCAGAAAAUGUUCUAUUGGAUGCCCAAGGCCAUGUAAAACUUACAGAUUUUGGAUUAUGUAAAGAACAUAUUCAGGAGGGUAUUGUCACACAUACAUUCUGCGGUACCAUUGAAUAUAUGGCACCGGAGAUCCUAACAAGGAGUGGUCAUGGAAAAGCCGUAGAUUGGUGGAGUCUGGGAGCACUUAUGUAUGACAUGCUCAUUGGACAGCCUCCAUUCACCGGCGACAAUCGUACAAAAACCAUAGAGAAAAUAUUAAAGGGUAAACUAAUGCUGCCAGCCUACCUCACACAAGACGCUCGCGAGCUGAUCCGUCGCCUCAUGAAGCGAUCGGAGACUCAACGUCUGGGCGCCGCAGGCGCUCAGGCAGUACGCGGUCACGCCUUCUUCAAACAUGUCAACUGGGAGGACGUCUUCUCUCGCAGACUGGAACCUCCUAUUAAACCUAGACUGACUGGUGAAGACGAUGUCUCACAAUUCGACACCCGGUUCACACUGCAGACGCCUAUCGAUUCGCCAGAUGAGUCGACACUUAGCGAAAGUGCCAACCUCAUGUUCCAGGGCUUCACAUACGUGGCGCCAUCUGUCAUGGACGAGAUUCACAAGCCGCGCGUGAUCACGGCGCGCUCGCCGCGGCGCCCGCGCCCGCACCACCACGCCGCGUUCGCCGUGCCGCUCGCCUCCACCGCGCACCAGCCGGAGGACCUCAUGGAUGUACAAGGUCUACCUAUAUACAAGUGAUGAGAUUGGCCAGCAAGAGGAGAAUCUUCGGAAUCCCAGAUUGUAGCACUGUUAGGCCUAGAAUAAUUCACAUUAGUUGACCAUUUAUACUAAGGAUGAUGAAUUAAACUACAAAGAUGCCCAUGUAAUACUGUCGGUGAAAAUAAUGGUACUGUUUUAUACUAUUAUUAAUGGACAUUUUAUACAAGUUACCGUUUAGUCUAAUAUUUGGGUAGAAUAAUCACGUAUAUUAAAAUGUUCUAACUCCGACUAUUUGACAAAAAUAAUAAUUUACAAUAUAACUUGUUACCAUGCUUCAUGAAUUGAAAUAAAGGUCAUUUUUUAUUUUGUAA
rnacentral:misc_RNA from 1 species